AUGGGGCAGGUGUGGGGCACGCGGCAUGGGAUCUGCCUCGUGGGGCACAGGGUGCGUGCUGCGGGGGUGCUGUGCGGUGUGGGGUGGGUGUGGGGUGGGGUGGGGGCACGGUGUGGGGUGGGGGCAUGGUGUGGGAUGGGGGUGCACGGGGUGGGAGGGGGGUGCACAGCGUGGGUUGGGGGGUGCACAGUGUGCAGCACAGGUCAGGGUGCACCACGAGUGGUGCAGGACACCCAGCGUGGGGUGCACGGUGCAUGGCACACAGGGCAAGGUGCACAGUGCGGGGUGUGGGGUGCACCGUGCGGGGUGCAGUGCAGGGGGCAUGGCACAGAGUGCGCACAGGAGCUGCAGGGCACAUGGAGCAGGGUGCACAAUGCAGGGUGCAGGGUGCCCAGCACAGGGUGCACAGUGUGCAGGGCACACAGGGCACAGCGUGGGGUGCAGGAUGCAGGGUGUGGGGUGCAUGAUGUGGGGUGCAGGGUGCGGGGUGCAGGGUGCACAGCGCGGGGAGCAGGGUGCGCAGUGCCUGCAGCGGGGUGCGGGAUGCACCGAGUGGGGCGCAGGGCGCGGGGUGCAGGGCGUGGGGCGCGCAGCCCGGGCUGUGGGGUGCAGGCAGCGGGGUGCAGGCGCAGGCAGGGCCCCGCGGGGCUGCGGCGGAGGCGUCAGCCCCAGCACCUGUUGCUAUGGAAAACGCUGCCUGCAUUAGCCAUGGCCGAGGCUGCUGUUGCCUUUGGCACCGGAGCUGCAAUUUGUUUCUAGAGCUUUCCAGCCGCAGCUCGUUCCCAGCCGGCAGGGUGGGGGGCUGCCGGGCGGGCAGGGCCGCAGCUUCUAGGAACAGAAACUCAAACCCCGGCACGUUCCUCCCGUCCCCGCGCCUGCCUGCGGCGCUGGGCUGCCUGCGGGGGGGAGCGGGGGCCCCGCCGCUGCUGCAGCCUCCCCCGGGCCCGGCGGCGGCACCCCCGAGAGCGGGGAGCUGGGCUGGGGGCAGCGGGGUCGGAGGGGGGGCUGGGGGGAGCUGGGGCAGGGCUCGGCUGUCCCCGGCCCCCCCGUUUGCAGCCCCCCAACCCCUCGUGCGUGGGGCUGGGACGCGGGUGGGGAGGGUGGGAGGCAGGCUGGGGGUGCGGGAU
rnacentral:lncRNA from 1 species